GCCGGUGUAGCUCAAUGGUAGAGCGGCCGAAUUGUUUUCGGUUGAUGGAGCGUUCAAAUCCUCCCGCCGGCUCCA
rnacentral:tRNA from 1 species